rnacentral:rRNA from 1 species
GAUCCUGGCUCAGGACGAACGCUGGCGGCGCGCCUAACACAUGCAAGUCGAACGGAGAUUACAGGCGGAAGUUUUCGGAUGGAAGCUUGUAAACUUAGUGGCGGACGGGUGAGUAACACGUGAGCAACCUGCCUAUCAGAGGGGGAUAACGAUUGGAAACGAUCGCUAAUACCGCAUGACAUAGCGGAACCGCAUGGUUCUGUUAUCAAAGAUUUUAUCGCUGAUAGAUGGGCUCGCG